GUCAGCAGGGGGAAUAACCCAGGGCUGUGAAUGAGCCCUGUCACUGUGAUCAGGUUCCUCCUUCUAAUCCACCAACUUAGUGUUGAUGAAGACUAAACAGAGAGAUCCCAGCCUUCUUUCUACUUGCUGUAGCUCAGAGUUACUCCACACUGCAGACAUGACGCCUCUGUUCAUCUCAGUGCUGCUGGCUGCUAUGAGCCUUGAAUGCAGAGCACAACAAGACAACGUGCUGCAACCAACAGGAGAUGUGACUGCUACUGAAGGAGAGGCAGUAACACUUGGCUGUCAAUAUACCAGCAGUUCAUCUAAUAAUUAUCUCUUCUGGUACAAACAGGAUGGAAACAACAGACCCAAAUUCAUUCUGAUGCGCUUUCAAGGGGAUGAAGGGAACACACCGGACGAGUUCAGGGACAGAUUUUCAUCUACACUCAAUUCCAAGUUAAAGUCAGUUCCUCUGAAGAUCUCCUCAGCUAAGCUGUCUGACUCUGCUGUGUACUACUGUGCUCUGAGGCCCACAGUGACAGGAAACACCAAAACUCUGUACAAAAACCUUUGGAGCAAAGACAACACAAUACUCCACAACGUCCACCAGAGGGAGACACACUCUGUUAACCUUCAACAUGAUGUAGUCUAGAAUCACUUUACCUUAGAAGUGUAACUGAGAGAAGAGAAACUACAGAGCUACGAGGAGACGGAGAGACUCAGGGAGGAGCUGAGCUGUUACUGAACUAUAGAAGAGAGAGGAACUUCUAGAUU